rnacentral:rRNA from 1 species
AUUGAACGCUGGCGGCAUGCCUUACACAUGCAAGUCGAACGGUAACGGGCCUUCGGGUGCCGACGAGUGGCGAACGGGUGAGUAAUGCAUCGGAACGUACCUUUCAGUGGGGGAUAACGUAGCGAAAGUUACGCUAAUACCGCAUAUUCUGUGAGCAGGAAAGCAGGGGAUCGCAAGACCUUGCGCUGAUUGAGCGGCCGAUGUCAGAUUUAGCUAGUUGGUGAGGUAAAGGCUCACCAAGGCGACGAUCUGUAGCGGGUCUGAGAGGAUGAUCCGCCACACUGGAACUGAGACACGGUCCAGACUCCUACGGGAGGCAGCAGUGGGGAAUUUUGGACAAUGGGUGCCACCCUGACCCCGCCAUGCCGCGUGAGUGAAGUAGGCCUUCAGGUUGUAAAGCUCUUUCGGCCGGGAAGAAAUCGCAUGGGUUAAUACCCUGUGCGGAUGACGGUACCGGCAUAAGAAGCACCGGCUAACUACGUGCCAGCCGCCGCCGUAACAC